AGUGGUUAAGGCGACAAACUUGAAAUCUGUUGGCUCUGCCCGCACAGGUUCGAAUCCUGUCGGCGACG
rnacentral:tRNA from 1 species